CAGGAUUCCUGGUUUUCAAGCCUGAGCUGAUCUCUCGGCUGGAGCAGGGAGAAGAGCCAUGGGUCCUCGACCUGCAGGGAGCAGAGGGGACAGAGGCACCAAGGACCUCCAAGACAGAUUCUACGAUUAGGACUGAAAAUGAGCAGGCCUGUGAGGA
rnacentral:sRNA from 1 species